rnacentral:rRNA from 1 species
AGAGUUUGAUCAUGGCUCAGAACGUACGCUGGCGGCACGCCUAACACAUGCAAGUCGAACGAAGUAGCAAUACUUAGUGGCAGACGGGUGAGUAACAUGUAGGUAUCUACCCUUUGGCCUGGAAUAACACGAGGAAACUUGUGCUAAUACCGGAUAAGUCUUUACGGAGAAAGCUUUAUGCACCAUUGGAUGAGCCUGCACUUGAUUAGUUUGUUGGUGGGGUAAUGGCCUACCAAGACUGUGAUCAAUAGCUGAUUUGAGAGGAUGAUCAGCCACAUUGGGACUGAGACACGGCCCAAACUCCUACGGGAGGCAGCAGUGGGGAAUCUUGCACAAUGGAGGAAACUCUGAUGCAGCGAUGCCGCGUGAGUGAAGAAGGCCCUUGGGUUGUAAAGCUCUUUCGUCGGGGAAGAAAAUGACUGUACCCGAAUAAGAAGGUCCGGCUAACUUCGUGCCAGCAGCCGCGGUAAUACGAAGGGACCUAGCGUAGUUCGGAAUUACUGGGCUUAAAGAGUUCGUAGGUGGUUGAAAAAGUUGGUGGUGAAAUCCCAGAGCUUAACUCUGGAACUGCCAUCAAAACUUUUCAGCUAGAGUAUGAUAGAGGAAAGCAGAAUUUCUAGUGUAGAGGUGAAAUUCGUAGAUAUUAGAAAGAAUACCAAUUGCGAAGGCAGCUUUCUGGAUCAUUACUGACACUGAGGAACGAAAGCAUGGGUAGCGAAGAGGAUUAGAUACCCUCGUAGUCCAUGCCGUAAACGAUGUGUGUUAGACGUUGGAAAUUUAUUUUCAGUGUCGCAGCGAAAGCGAUAAACACACCGCCUGGGGAGUACGACCGCAAGGUUAAAACUCAAAUGAAUUGACGGGGACCCG